UUAAGUCUGAGUGGUAUGUUGGGGAGCGUGUCCGUGACCUGCCCGAAAUCAAAGCUGCAUUUGAGUUGUUUGAUGGAGGGAUAGGUGUACCGCAGUUGCCAAAACGAUGUAGAGUUGAUGAAGCUGUAGAUGAUAGCUCCGAUGAUGGCACCUUUGAAGCAAACCUUGAGGAGACAUUGAAGAAGAAUAAUGAAGAAAUGAUGGCGUUGUCUUCAAGGCUAGUUUUUUUGAAGAAUGAGGUAUGUAAAAUUCGUGACAUUCCAAUUGUGAAUGAAGAAGGUGUUGGAGGAGUUGAUGAAGAACCUUUAGGUGGAGGUGAUGAAGAACCUUUAGGUGGAGGUAAUGAAGAACCUUUAGGUGGANAUGAAGAACCUUUAGGUGGAGGUGAUGAAGAACCUUUAGGUGGAGGUAAUGAAGAACCUUUAGGUGGAUGUGAUGAAGAACCAUUAGGUGGAGGUUAUGAAGAACCUUUACCUGGAGUUAAUGAAGAAUCGUUCAAUGAAGAAGCAUUCAAUGAACGUUCAAUGAAGAACCUAUGGCUGAAGAUGAACAACAAGUUGUGAACGUUGUUGAAAUUGUUGAGUAUGAAGAACCGGAGGCACCGCAAGCAAUGGCAAUCGUACCUCUUCGUGCAGUUCAUGGUGAUCCAAGGCCUGACGUCAAUGCUGACCAACUCUACAUCGCCGUGGGCGUAAGGGAUAGACCACAAAGGUAAGUUAUGAUAAUUUUGUUUAAUGUAUUGGUUUGGGAAUAGUUAUUUAUUG
rnacentral:lncRNA from 1 species